rnacentral:lncRNA from 1 species
GGCAAGACUAUACAGUGUCCAGAGAAAGCAGGCUCUGCUGUAAAAGACACAAUGGUUUCUAUUUUCCAAAAAUUGCUAGAUGCAGUUUUUUUGCAUUUGCCACAAUCUUAUUACUGCCUGUAAGUAAGCACCACUAGCUGAUAGUUUUUAUUCAUAAAACAUCAUCAUUGUAUCCUAAGAGAAAGAGAUUGGUAUUGGUCUUUAGAUUUUACUUCUAUAAGGAGAUCAGCUACAUGGAUGAAAGAUUGAUAUAAAAUGGAAAGCUGAAUUUCCAGAAUUUUAGGGAUAUUUGCACUCAAAGAAUCUAAUAACAGAAUAUUUAGAUCUGCUUAUUAAUCUAUCAUUUUAAUUACGUUUUAAUUUAUGAAUUUAAAGUUACAAUGAGUAAAAAAUCCUUUUGGGUUUUUAUUAAUCAGUAACACCUGAACAGUUUUUGUAAAUUGCUUUAGAGUAGAUUUACUCCAGACGAGGCAGCUAAGUCCGGAAUACCUUUCCCCUAAGGAAAGCAACCUUGUUGCCAUGCAGCCUUCAAUUUGCCUUUGUAGUUAUAGACCAUGUAUGAAAUAUCAAUCGUUUCUAAAUGAAGUGACUGCCAAUCAAAUCUUUCUUUUAAACUUCCCACUAGAGCAAUAUUAAGAAUACACAGGGAAGUUAUGAAGUUGUGAUUAUGCCUAAUAAACACAAAUUCCUGGCCCUUCUUAACCAUGAAUUAUUUCUAAACAUUAUUAACCCAUUAUUUUUUAGAACACAUCCAUGAAAAGUGAAAACAAUGGAUAGAAAAACCAAAACUCUGACCACAUAUGUGGUCAGUUCGGUAGCCUACACUUUUCCUUUUUGAAGUGUUUUUAUUUGCUAAACGAAGACAGCAAAGGAAAGAACCUCUUAGUGGCAAGUAGGUGUCACUGUGUACUUGUCAGCCACUGAGAGUGCACCAGUCUUGUCAGCUCCCUGGGCCGCUUGGGGAUGCAGAAGAUCCAGUUGCUUGUAGCAUAGGUGCUUUCCCCCAGGCCUAAAUAGGACUUAUUUAGAAUGUAUAAAUAAUGUUCCUGGCAUUUCCUAGUGUUUAUUUCCCUUGCCUCAUUAUCCAAAAUACUGUGAAUUUUUAGCUGAGGAAGCUGACUUCUUAUGGUGUAUCCUGGAUUUUCUUCCCUGGAAAGCCUGUGAAUUUCAAAGGAAACAAAGUUUAGGUCUCAGGCUUCCCCUUAUUUAUCUUGAGAAUGAAGGGUUUUGAAGAGGUGGCCUUUACAAUUCAUCUCUAUGAUCCUUUUCUUUUGUUUCAAACCUACAUACUUCAGGUGCUCCAAUGUUGUUUUCUUAUAAAGUGCUUUCUUUCCUAGUUGUUGAUUAAAGUUUUUUCCAGUAUAUCUCGUUUUACAAACCUCCCCCUCUUUCUGAGUCAUUUAUCUCAUUUCCUAGGCUGAUUGUAUGAUUUCACUUAGUGAAACAGCUUCCUGUGUGCACAAGGAGUCUGUGACUAUCCAGUUGUCAAUCAGUUUUUAAUUAUGUGGAGGCUGAUUAUUGUGUUUCAUAGCUUAUUUGUAAUUCUUUUCUUUUUUCUUUGCUUGCCCUUAAAGAGAGAAUGGGCAGCGUAUAGUCCAUUUUAUUGUUUGUUACUUGUUCUGGAAAAAUGUCAUAGAGAAGAAGAUAGAGGAGUUGAAUCUGAGAAUGGAAAGAUUGUGGAUUGACUAUCUCUUUUCUAGCUCAAGAUCUAGAACUGAUGAUGUCCUUUGAUUGUUACAGUUACAGACAAGUUUUAAAGACAGCUUCAAAAUUACCUUCCCCAAAUAAUAACACUGGGACAGGUUUGUGCUUCCUAGUUUGAUGUUGCUUCAGAGAAAGUUAGUGAGGAAAUGUUAAUACAAGGAAGUAAAGUAAAAGAAAACAAAAACAAAACAUUACUAGUAUGUUUAGUAAUUAUUAUUCUGAGUAUGAGUCUUGGGAUUUUUGGCCUGAUUACCUGGAGACAAAUUCCCUAAGGGAUCAUCACCCCACCUGAAAAAUGGGCUAACAUGAUUUCUUAGUUUUAGAGUUCUGUGAGUUGGAGAUUAGUUCAUCAAGCACACUUGUUAGCUGUCCGUACUUUUGUUAAGAUGGCCUCAGGUAGGUGAUGGUGAAGCAUAGACUUGAAGUAUUGUAGGAGAGGGAGAUAAAUGAAGGCUGGAGGGAGUAACCUGGUUCACUAGCAAUUUGAUUUGCCUAGAAUAGAUGAUUUGUAUUGGGGACAGGUAAGAAAUAGGCUUGGCAGAUGGUCAGGAUGGUGCCAACUGUGGUGCAACUUUAGGAUCAAGAAGAAGAAUUUCAAUUUGAUGCUAUAGGCAAUAGGGAGUCAUGGAAGGUUUUAGACCAGUGAAGACAUAACCACAAUGGUA